CCCCUUGACCUUCUUCUUACGCAGCCUCCUAGCCAUCUGUCUAUCCAGCAAAAAAUUGUCGUAUAUGCUCCUCCCUUGAUGAAAGCUGACUGAUUUACAUUGACGAGCUCCGGCAUCCGUCUGCUAAGCCUCGACGCCAAUAACUUCGAUGCAAUUUUUGGAGCACUGUGAAGCAGGCAUAUGGGGUUCUCGCUUCGGGAUGGAUGAACCCCCACUCGCCCAGGCUGACACGUGCAGCGGGAAAUUGCUAGAGGCGGCCACGCCUUGCUGCGAAGCGGACCGAACCGAAGAAAAAAAGAGACUAAUCUAAUCCCCAAUCCCACGCCGCCGCCGCCGCCGCCGCCGCUCCUCCCACCCACCUUCAAGGAAGCGACGACGGCCGCUGCGGAGAACGAGAAGCACGACGAGCCUCCUCUUCUCUUCUCUCUUUCUCUCUCCCUCCCUCCUCUCCCGCUCCAAUCCUCCCCUCCCUCUGCCCCCAUCGCCGCCGCUCCACCACCCAAGCCACCGACGAGCCCCACCCACCCAGGGCACGGCCCUUUCACCCACCGACGCCGCCCGCCACUCACCGUCUCUCACUCUCCAGCCGGGACGCCACAGAUCGAUUCGGAGCAGGCCAGGCGGCGCCAUGGCCGCGUCCGGACUUCCGGACGCGCGCCGUCGUCGAGCUGGGCUCCGCCGGGAGAGGAGGACCGAGGGGGCGGCCACUGGGUGCUUCUUCUCUCGGGACGCCGCUCUUCGGCUGCUCUUACCGACCCUGCUGGUGCCGCGAAAUGGAGCUUCCGCUGCUACUCUUCUCCCUGCCUCCCUGUCUCUGUUCGAUUCAACCGCGGUUCGCUGAUGGGGGACUCUUCUUCAACUCCCCACCUGCCCCUCAGGUGGAGCUGCAGAGGUCCAUCAGGCAGGAGGUCUCUGUCUCCGUUCAAGGGGCAGCUAGUAGAUGGAUGAUGUAUGACGUAUGAUGUAUGAUGAUGGGUUGGAAUGGGAGCUGGUGACGAAAGGAACCUGCUGCAACAACCACAUCGACUCCCUUCUCUACAGCAGACGCACCACAUUGACGACGCCGAGGAGGACGUGGACAUGCGCAAUCCUACGCCCGAGCUCGAGGAGGACAUUGUCGAGUCCAGCCCGACCACGCCGAUGCACCGCACAAGUACCAUGAAUUUGUCGCCAGGAUGCAAGCAGGAUCGCCACCCCCUCCCUAGCCGCCAGUACUGUGAGAUGCAGCAGCUGGUCGUGUAGGUUUGGCUCAGUCUCAUCUCCGUCUAGCUCUCCACCGUCAACGUGCUGGCAACAUUAAAGAUUCUUGCUGUAGUUCCGCGAGUUUGUCGUGAGGAUACAAGCAGGAUCACCACCCAUCCUAGCCGCCAGUACUAUGAGAUGCAGCAGUUGGCCGUGUAGGUUCGGCUCGGUCUCAUCUUUGUCCGGCUCUCCACCGUCACCGUGCUGGCAACGACAUGGUUUGGCUUCGGCUUAAAACAUUAAAGCUGUGGGAGAGCUAGUGGUUGGUGAUAGGCAGUUGUACCAAUACUUGGUUGGGAGCAUCCGUCGGUUUCCAAAACAGGAAAAGUUUGCUAGAUGAUAUGGAAACGCUGCCAUAUUAUUUUAUUGGGUUGGUGGCCAAGGUCCAUGGUGUGUCAGCGGUUGUAGGUCCUGCCGCAUCUCAUCACCGUCAACGGCGUGGUUCGGCCUCAGCUACAUACAUUGAAGAAUGCGGCUGAGUCCAAGGACAUGGUGGUAAACUGUGUGGCGUGUACAGGGGGAGUACAUCACUAGCGAGUCGCGCGCCUCCCGCCUUGCCCCUUCGGUGGUCGAUUCUUAUUUCUUUCUGUAGAAGAACUCUCUUGAGGAAUAAUGGCAGCAAGCUCACAAGCACGGUAAUGGCAGAUUUCCGCCUCCUUGGGUGAUUGUUGCUAUUGCAGUUCUUGGUUUUGAUAAGAUCAUGAUGCUUCUGAGGUGUUCCCAACUGCCGCUGACAACAAGACGCAAGUGGGUAUCCGUGUGUUGUAAGGUGAGUGUGAGAUGGCAACGGACAGCAAGCUCCUGGGCGAGUUCAACCAAGUUGGCAUACUGCCAGCACAAAGGUGUGCACUACAGAUCAAGAUGGCCGCCGCCGCCUAAGACCAAGAGUUUAUUAUCUAUGGAAGAAGCCUCCAGAUCGCUGGCUAAAUUGUAAACGUUUUUGUUUUUGCUCCAUCCAUGGAUGAAGUCAAGCUCUUCAAAAUCUUUUUUUCCCAUGACUCCUGCCUUUCUGCAGAAGUCUUUGUGUUCAGAAUUACUAUGCAUCUGUCUUGUUUUUGAUGUAUUCCUUAUUUUAUCUUUCUCAUUAUCCAGGAUUUUUGGCAGGAACUAAUCUUGAUUUAUGAGCAGGUUGGUCCUAGUUCACAUGAGCUGUUGAAUGCUCGGUUUCGGUGCCUGUGGGCCUCCCGCCGUGCGACGGGCCGGCUACAACUGUUCCGGUUUCCAAAAAUACAUUUUCUGGGGAGAUUGUGAAAGCCAAAAUUCUGAAGAUAUGUGAUGUUCGUGCAAAACAUUACCCUUUUCGUGAAGACCUUGCUAAACAAAUGCAUCCUGUUGAGGAGGUCAGCAUUUGGAAAUAUGCCAUUUGCCGUCGUUCUAUGUUGAAAUUCUUUCUCGUUGCUUAGUAUUGCAUAUUUCUACUUUGGCUUAAAUAGUUAAACCCAAGAACCUUACGAGGUAGCACUUGUAAGGAGGAGGUUAGCAGUUGAGAAAUAGUUCUGUGCAGGAUAUACCAUAACUUGUAUAACCUCCUGUGCUAGAUUUCCAGCAUAUAUGUUACCUUUUCUCCAUCCCAAGGUAUCAUACCUCUGUUACUUUUUCAUGUGGCCAUUAACUACAGGGGUAUAAAAAUGUUUUACAUAACUUGUGAGAAGAGCUGGUGAUGAUCAUAACCAAAAUGCUUUAGCUGCUUCUGAAUC